UACUUGGGGUGCAAACGUUGCUCGGAAUUAUUGGGCGUAAAGCGCACGUAGGCGGUUUGUUAAGUCGGAUGUGAAAUCCCUCGGCUCAACUGAGGAAGUGCAUCCGAAACUGGCAAGCUUGAGUACGAAAGAGGGUCGCGGAAUUCCCGGUGUAGAGGUGAAAUUCGUAGAUAUCGGGAGGAACACCGGUGGCGAAGGCGGCGACCUGGGUCGAUACUGACGCUGAGGUGCGAAAGCGUGGGGAGCAAACAGG
rnacentral:rRNA from 1 species